AUUGAACGCUGGCGGCAGGCCUAACACAUGCAAGUCGAACGAGUGGCGGACGGGUGAGUAAUGUCUGGGAAACUGCCCGAUGGAGGGGGAUCACUACUGGAAACGGUAGCUAAUACCGCAUACCAUCGGAUGUGCCCAGAUGGGAUUAGCUAGUAGGUGGGGUAACGGCUAACCUAGGCGCCGAUCCCUAGCUGGUCGGAGAGGUUGACCAGCCAAACGGGAAUUGAGACACGGGCCAGACUCCUACUGGAGGCGGCAGUGGGGAAUAUUGCACAAUGGGCGCAAGCCUGAGGCAGCCAUGCCGGGGGUAUGAAGAGGGCCUUCGGGUUGUAAAGUACUUUCAUCGAGGAGGCGUUACUCGCAGAAGAAGCACCGGCUAACUCCGUGCCAGAGCCGCGGUAAUAC
rnacentral:rRNA from 1 species